GAGAUACUCCCUCCGACCGGUAUUAUUUGUCUUAAAUUUGCCCAAAUACGGAUGUAUCUAUGUAUAAAAAGGGUCUAGAUACAUUUAAUAUUUCGACAAGUAAUUCUGGUCAGAGGGACUAAUUA
rnacentral:pre_miRNA from 1 species